rnacentral:rRNA from 1 species
AAGCAGUCGCCACGGGAAUACGUAGGGUGCGAGCGUUAAUCGGAAUUACUGGGCGUAAAGCGUGCGCAGGCGGUUGUGUAAGACAGGUGUGAAAUCCCCGGGCUUAACCUGGGAACUGCGCUUGUGACUGCACAGCUAGAGUAUGGCAGAGAGGGGUGGAAUUCCACGUGUAGCAGUGAAAUGCGUAGAGAUGUGGAGGAACACCGAUGGCGAAGGCAGCCCCCUGGGCCAAUACUGACGCUCAUGCACGAAAGCGUGGGGAGCGAACAGGAUUAGAUACCCGAGUAGUCCCUGUCUCUUAUAC